GCAGAAAUAGCUUAGUUGAGAGAGCCUUAGCCUGAAGAUCUAAAGGUCCCUGGCAAUCCCGGCUUUCAGCA
rfam:Loxodonta africana unplaced genomic scaffold scaffold_135, whole genome shotgun sequence.